CCUACGGGAGGCAGCAGUAGGGAAUCUUUCACAACGGGCGAAAGCCUGAUGGAGCAACGCCGCGUGCAGGAUGAAGGCCUUCGGGUUGUAAACUGCUUUUAUAAGCGAGAAAUAUGAUGGUAACUUAUGAAUAAGGAUCGGCUACCUACGUGCCAGCAGCCGCGGUCAUACGUAGGAUCCGAGCAUUAUCCGGAGUGACUGGGUGUAAAGAGUUGCGUAGGUGGCAUAAUAAGUAGCUAGUGAAAUCUGGUGGCUCAACCAUUCAGACUAUUAGCUAAACUGUUAAGCUCGAGACCGUUAGGGGUAACUGGAAUUUCUAGUGUAGGAGUGAAAUCCGUAGAUAUUAGAAGGAACACCAAUAGCGUAGGCAGGUUGCUGGGACGGUUCUGACACUAAGGCACGAAAGCGUAGGGAGCAAACGGGAUUAGAUACCCUAGUAGUC
rnacentral:rRNA from 1 species